UACAGAGACUGCAAGCGUUUAUUCGGAUUCACUGGGCGUAAAGGGUGCGCAGGCGGCCAAGUGUGUUAGGCGUGAAAGCCCGGGGCUUAACCUCGGAAUUGCACCUAAAACUACUUGGCUAGAGCAUUGGAGAGGGUAGCGGAAUUCACGGUGUAGCAGUGAAAUGCGUAGAUAUCGUGAGGAACACCAGAGGCGAAGGCGGCUACCUGGACAAUUGCUGACGCUCAGGCACGAAAGCGUGGGGAGCAAAAGGG
rnacentral:rRNA from 1 species